AAGUCUCAGCGCACAUGGAUACAACAGUGGGUCUGUGAAUGGCUCCAUACAUCAGCAGUCAUCUCCGCGACAGAGUGUGGUUGGCGCUGCCCGGCCACGGGCUCCCAGUUGGACAUCCUCCAAAACCUUGUGGCUGAUACACGUCCGCCCACGUCGGCCAUGGUUCCCACUUGGGUUCCAGGUGCUUCCACGCUUGGCCUUCGUUCGCAGUGUGGUGGUGGAUGGCACCCAGCCAGCACUAAGACCAUCGUCCCCCCCCGGACAGUGUGUUGUGGUGGACCCAGGCUUGUCCCUCCUGGGACGGUUGCUCUGGCAGAAGUUCGGCGGCCCCGUAACAACGGGCCGCAGCCUCGGCCUGGUCGCACGGACUUCUGACCUAUCAGCUUGGACUGUGGUGUCGUGGACCACAGUGGCCUUGACGGGUAACGGAGAAUCAGGCUUCGAUUCCAGAGAGGGAGCCUGAGAAACGGCUACCACUACCAAGGUGGGCAGCAGGCGCGCAAAUUGCCCAAUGCAAACAAAUCUGCGAGGCAGCGACGAACUGCAGCAAUUCCACUGGCCUUCUUCGCCAGUGGAACUUGGAAUGGAUGCAAUCCAAAGACAGUGAUGAGUAACAACUGGGGGGCAAGUCUGGUGCCAGAAGCUGCGUUAAUUCCAGAUCCAAGGGCGUAUACUAACAUUGCUGCGGUUAAAACGC
rnacentral:rRNA from 1 species